GACGAACGCUGGCGGCGUGCUUAACACAUGCAAGUCGAACGGAAAGGCCCUGCUUUUGUGGGGUGCUCGAGUGGCGAACGGGUGAGUAACACGUGAGUAACCUGCCCUUGACUUUGGGAUAACUUCAGGAAACUGGGGCUAAUACCGGAUAGGAGCUCCUGCUGCAUGGUGGGGGUUGGAAAGUUUCGGCGGGUGGGGAUGGACUCGCGGCUUAUCAGCUUGUUGGUGGGGUAGUGGCUUACCAAGGCUUUGACGGGUAGCCGGCCUGAGAGGGUGACCGGCCACAUUGGGACUGAGAUACGGCCCAGACUCCUACGGGAGGCAGCAGUGGGGAAUAUUGCACAAUGGGCGGAAGCCUGAUGCAGCAACGCCGCGUGCGGGAUGACGGCCUUCGGGUUGUAAACCGCUUUCGCCUGUGACGAAGCGUGAGUGACGGUAAUGGGUAAAGAAACACCGGCUAACUACGU
rnacentral:rRNA from 1 species